AGGAAAAUUUCUGUUACAUCGGUGGAUCUUGUAUUGCGGGAGAUGCCACCCUACAAACUUCAUCGGACUGCUUUGUGUGCGACUCCCAGACAAACCCAUACAGCUGGACGAAAGCUUCCUGUAAUGAUGACGACAUCGGUUUAUCGUCUGCUGCACUUAUCGGCAUCAUAGUUGGUUCAGUCUUUGUUGGUAUCAUAGCAACCGUUGCCGUGGUGUAUGUACGAUGUUACAAAGUCACGAAGAACCGGCGAACUGUGUCUGUGGGUGAUGUGAAUUCAAGUCAGGCGUACUUAUCAGCGGGCCCAGCUGGAGAAACAUGGGGUGGUGACAAACAUUAAAAUAUGAAAGAAAAUGUUGCUGGUUAUGUCCUACUUUCAUGAAUGGAAUUUAAAAUGCUGCUCUUUCUUAGUUUAUGUCUGAAUGUAUGUAAUAAUUGUGUGCAGACACCUUUUUUAACUUACGCGUUUUGUUUUAUAAACAUUUUCACUAUUUAGAUUUGUAAUAUAUUUGAU